rnacentral:rRNA from 1 species
AUGCCGAUCGCCGGCUGCUUCGGCGGGAAAGGGAAGGUGGGCGGCGGCGGCGGUGCCGCGCGCCCGCGCUACGUGCCCAGGAGGGGCAAGGUGUUCCGGGCCGUGCUGGGCGCGCUCAUCAGCUGCUACCGCCCCGCCAGGACCGGGCCUCUGCCGCGCUGA